UUACUUACCUGGACGGGGUUUAUGGAUGAUCAAUAAGACUCAUGGCCUAGACCAAUUGCUCACAUUGCACUUUGUGAGCGUGUUGAUCUACUAUCUCCCCUUUAAAGGAGAGUGGACGUCAUAAUUUGUGAUAGAGUGGGUACGUGUUUGCGCGGCCCCUGC
rfam:Triticum urartu cultivar G1812 contig949444, whole genome shotgun sequence.